CUUUCAAGGUUUACAAAUAACAAAGGUGCACCUUGUAUUUAAAAUUGCCAUUAUAGAUGAGAGCGUGCAUGCACAGUCAUUUUUGUUUGAGUAAUAUUUUUAAUGUAAUAGAUUUUAAGAUGUGGUGAGGGAGGGAUCUGACAGAGAUGAAUGUGCCAAGCAAAACCACAACUGUGUAUCUUUUAAAGCACAUCAUGGCUUUAAGUACCAUGUUGUUAAGGAUUCUCAUGAAGUGCCAUAGACUGUACAUCAAAUUAGAGUAUUAUUUCUUCAGUGUUAUUGUUUUCAGAGCCACAUUUUGUUGCUUAUUUGCUAGUACUAAUCAGUCAAAGGGCACCAUUCUUUUUUUUUUGGAAACCAAAGCUGUCUCAGAAAUGGCCGAUUUAACUUUACAGUAACAGAAUAGACAGCACAACACAGACUCUCUCAAUACAGAUAAACUCACACAUACUGGAG
rnacentral:lncRNA from 1 species